GUGAAUGGCAAAGGCUCGAUCAUUGAUGGCAAGGUGGCAGUUUGCAACGAAUUUUUACCAUGUUUUUGCAAAGUAUAUCAAUCUUUUGUGGUUUUGAUAGUCAGAGGUUCGCAGAGGGAAGGAAAUGGCUAUUUCCGGAUUAAAUUCUUGAGAUUCAGUAAUUUGCUGGAUUGGGAAACGAAAAUCUAAAAUGAAUGUUAAAACAGAAGUACUGGCAGCGUCAGGGCCUGACCAACACUCGACACCGUUCUGGAUCCCAAACACCGUGUAGCCUCGAAACGCAGCCUCUUGCUUAC